CAUGCACUGCCUCCCGCACACACACACACUCUGCACCCCUCACACACUGCCUCCCAUACCCACCCUGCAUCCCUCACACACUCAGUGCCUCCCAUACACACACACACACACACAUUACUAGAGGCCCUAUCCCCUACUACAGCCCCUAUCCUGGCAGACCCCAGGUAAAUUGUCAAACUGUUCUUAAACAGUUUGACUAUUUACUCUGGGAGGGCCCACGGCACUCCUG